rnacentral:rRNA from 1 species
UGAGUAACCUGCCCUUAACUCUGGGAUAAGCCUGGGAAACUGGGUCUAAUACCGGAUAUGACUCCUCAUCGCAUGGUGGGGGGUGGAAAGCUUUAUUGUGGUUUUGGAUGGACUCGCGGCCUAUCAGCUUGUUGGUGAGGUAAUGGCUCACCAAGGCGACGACGGGUAGCCGGCCUGAGAGGGUGACCGGCCACACUGGGACUGAGACACGGCCCAGACCUCCUACGGGAGGCAG